rnacentral:rRNA from 1 species
AAAGCGUGCGCAGGCGGUUUUGUAAGACUGUCGUGAAAUCCCCGGGCUCAACCUGGGAAUGGCGAUGGUGACUGCAAGGCUAGAGUUUAGCAGAGGGGGGUAGAAUUCCACGUGUAGCAGUGAAAUGCGUAGAUAUGUGGAGGAACACCGAUGGCGAAGGCAGCCCCCUGGGUCAAAACUGACGCUCAUGCACGAAAGCGUGGGGAGCAAACAGGAUUAGAUACCCUUGU